rnacentral:misc_RNA from 1 species
GAAAUGCGAUAAGUAAUGUGAAUUGCAGAAUUCAGUGAAUCAUCGAAUCUUUGAACGCACCUUGCGCUCCUUGGUAUUCCUUGGAGCAUGCCUGUUUGAGUAUCAUGAAAUCUUCAAAGUAAAUCUUUUGUUAACUCAAUUGGUUUCUACUUUGGUAUUGGAGGUCUUUGCAGCUUCACACCUGCUCCUCUUUGUUCAUUAGCUGGAUCUCAGUGUUAUGCUUGGUUCCACUCGGCGUGAUAAGUUAUCUAUCGCUGAGGACACUGUAAAAGGUGGCCAAGGUAAAUGCAGAGGAACCGCUUCUAAUAGUCCAUUGACUUGGACAAUACUUUUAUGAUCUGAUCUCAAAUCAGGUAGGACUACCCGCUGAACUUAAGC